rnacentral:rRNA from 1 species
UACGGGGGGGGCAAGCGUUGUUCGGAAUUACUGGGCGUAAAGGGCUCGUAGGCGGCCAACUAAGUCAGACGUGAAAUCCCCAGGCUCAACCUGGGAACUGCGUCUGAUACUGGAUGGCUUGAAUCCGGGAGAGGGAUGCAGAAUUCCAGGUGUAGCGGUGAAAUGCGUAGAUAUUGGGAGGAACACCAGUGGCGAAGGCGGCUCACUGGACCGGUUCUGACGCUGAGGCGCGAAAGCGUGGGGAGCAAACGGG